rnacentral:misc_RNA from 1 species
AAAUUUUCGAAUUUUUUUUCUAGAAUAUACACGCAUAAAGUAUUUGAGAUAUAGUACAAUAAAAGGGACAUAGUACAUAUAAAGUACAUACAACAGAGAAAAGUUCGUCGGUGAAAUAUCGUUGUUGAUUUUGAUGAUACUUACCCUCACCUGCUAACCAUUGAUCCCAUGGGCGCCAUGGUCAGAGCAAAUGGCGUUCAAGUUUAACAAUUGAGAAUUCCUGCGCAUGUCAACAACAUUUCGUAAAAAGUAUAGAAUUUGACCUGGAUUCGCAUAUUUACUUCACAACCAUCAGAUAUGAAUAGAGUUCGCACUGUUGGAGUUAUAACUGACAGUCUUUAUCUGUGUGGAUAUGCAUCAGUACAUCAAGACAACAUCGAUUAUUUCAACAUUACCUGUGUUAUUAAUGUCACUGAAGAAUUUGAAAGCAAACAUUUUGAAAGUGUAGAGAAUGUAAGGAUUGAAAUACGAGAUACAUCAAGUGCUAACUUGAAGCAGUACUUUGAGUCGACUUCCGAAAAAAUCGAUGAAGUCGCAAGAACCGGAGGGAGAUGUAUGAUCCACUGCGUUGCGGGUGUGAGCCGUUCUGCAAGUUUAUGUAUCGCAUAUCUGAUGAAGAAACGAAACAUGACCCUGCGAGAAGCGUUCAAUGUUGUAAAAUCUGCCCGUGAAGUUAUCGCUCCUAAUACAGGCUUUUGGAGACAGUUGAUCUCAUAUGAGUUUGAACUAUAUAAUGCAAAUACUGUGGAAAUAUGGCCGUUAUCUGUUGGGGAAUUCGCAGAUGUUGACAAGGUGGAUUGUAUCAUAAAACGACAUGUUAUUAACAAUUGGCUCUAUGAUGUGAACUACUUUGGUUUUUUUAUCAUUUUAUUUUUGUUGCUGUGUAUAGAUGUCAUUAGUGCUAUUUUUACUUGGUAUCAGUAGUAGAAUCCUGUACAGAAAUGAUGAAAUGGAUUGCAACAGACUUGAAAGAUAUCCAUCGCAUUUGACGUCAUAUUUUCAGAAAUAAAUAUCUUUGAAG